rnacentral:rRNA from 1 species
AAACCAUUCUCCCCCCUUAGUACGGGCGACGGAAAAGGGAUACGAGGAGCUAUAGAGAAAGUACCGCAAGGGAAUGCUGAAAGAGAAAUGAAAUAACCCAGUAAAGCGCAAAAAAGCAGAGGUUCUUCCUCGUACCUUUUGCAUCAUGGCCUAGCCAGUAAGACUUAAGCAAAGAGCACUUUAGUUUAAGACCCCGAAACUAUGGUGAGCUACUCCGAGACAGCCUAUAAUAGGGCAAAUCCGUCUCUGUCGCAAAAGAGUGGAAAGAGCUCCGAGUAGAGGUGACAAACCUAUCGAACCUGGUUAUAGCUGGUUGCCUGAGAAAUGGAUAAGAGUUCAGCCUCAUGGCUUCUUCCCUUAAAACCUUGCCCUUCGGCCCAAGAAAAACAAAAGAAACCAUGAGAGUUAAUCAAAGGAGGCCCAGCUCCUUUGAUAAAAGAUACAACUUUCCUAGGAGGGUACAGAUCAUAUUCCCCUCAAGGCUUGGUGUCCUGGUGGGCCUAAGAGCAGCCAUCCAUGUAAAAAGCGUUAAAGCUCAAACACGUCAGCCUCCCUCUAAUAAUGAUAUUACAUCUUAACCCCCUUGAUCCUAUCAGGCCGUUCCAUACCCCUAUGGAAGCGAUUAUGCUAGAAUGAGUAAUAAGAGGGCACGACCCUCUCCCCGCACACGUGUUCAUCGACCCCGACCCACCAUCGAACUUUAACGGCCCCAAUAAUAGAGGGAAGUGAUUAACAAAAGAGACAACAGGACAAGCACUCAGCCACUUAACCCACCGUUGACCCCACACUGGAGUGCCACCCGGGAAAGACUAAAAGAAGAAGAAGGAACUCGGCAAACACCUAAAGCCUCGCCUGUUUACCAAAAACACCGCCUCUUGCAAGAUUAACGAAUAA